rnacentral:rRNA from 1 species
GUUCGAGGUGGAAGCGUAGCGAUACGUGGAGCUGACGAAUACUAAUCGAUCGAAGACUUAAUCAAU